UUGCGACCCCUAGAUUUAGCACAAUGUAUUCAAUCUACUUGUCCGCUCUUCCAAAGCUGACCUGUUUCAUGUCUCGAGUAGCCCCAUGUCAAUCACCUCAAGUCCUCUACAUUUGGAUUUACAGUUUUAUCAUAGCAAGUUCAAAAAGUGAAUGAAUUAAAAUAGUUCAAAAAAACAAAUAUUGGCAAGGAGAAACUUGAGCUUUCAAAUAAUUCAAAAGACAAAUAUUCAGGCGAUUGUUUCAAAGGAAGUUGUUGCUUAAGGUUACUGAAAAACUUGAGCUUUUUUUGUUUAUAUUUUGGUUCUGGUUUCCUAGAGUCGAAGUGGUUUUACUGCCAUUGAGAGGGGGAAAUCUGGCGGGUGAGGGUUUCUGGUCCAAGAUUUGGUCUUUGGAAAACCAUGAUGCUGGAAAAGGUAUGAUUAUGAAUAAUGUAUGAUAUAGAAAGAGCUUUCACCAAUCAAACCAGAAACCACCUUUCGCGGCGGCAAAAGCCCAACCUAUCCAAACCCAGUCCAUUUGGGUUAGGGUCGAAUUUGGGUCAAGAGGGUUAGGAUUGGUUGGGUUGAGGUUAUCCACAGGGUGGUGGUUUCAUUCUGCAACUCUGCUGUCUGCUCACCACCUCCGCCUCUUACUUGUUUGCUUCGAAUACAUGGAAGCGUUUAUCGUAGACUCAGGUAUAUCUCCCUCUGCUCCUCCCUCCUUCUUCUUCUUCUUCUUCUUCUUCUUCAUGUUGCCUUUCUUUUUCCAUGACUAGAGCAAGAAUUGAUGGCUACUAUUUUCAUUGUGUUCUUAGCCACCAUUCCAUCCCCCAACCCCCCUUCAAUCAAUAGUUAUAGUGGCUCUGGUGUACCAGGGAAUUUUCUUUGUUUGUGAGAGUACAACAGUCUAGAGUACAUCAGUCUAGGGCGUCUAAAUGUUCCUCUUCUUCCUCUCUCGCUCUCUCUUAUUAAUGAUCUGGGAUUCAUGUAUGCUUCCUAUUUUCUAUUUUCAGUUCUUGCAUUCUGUUUACAGAUUCAAAGUUGUGCAAUAAUGGACUGUUAUAAUGGUGAACAUAAGACUAAUUUACCUUUAAUAAGCAACAGAAUAACUGAUCAAUUUCUUUUUUCUUUUCAUUUUCUUUUUUAUCAUUGAUAGAUCAACGAAGGGACAUACUAGUGACUUCCCAGUUCAAGGGUGUGAAACAAUAAGGUCCCUUGCUAUCUUUUUUGGGAUGGUCUGUGGCUCUAAAUAAAAUUUUAACAAGAGAGAAUUUAAUCAGAAGAGGCAUGGAGAUGGAUAAUAUGGAUUGUGAUGUUCUGUGUAGCAGGUGCAUGGAAACAUCAGAUCACUUGCUACUUCAUUGCAGUUUUACCUGAAGGAUAUGGGUUGGUAUGUUGAAUCUGUUUGGGGUGGAGUGGUGCUUUUCGGGUGAUUGGAAGAGCUUCCUUGGUGCAUGGUGUUUAAAAAGUUUGAGCAAAGAGGGUAAGGUGGUUCGGGGAAUUAUACUGCCAGCAGUUGUUUUUGAGCUAUGUGGGGUGAAAGAAAUGGCGGAUUUUUUGAGGGUAAACAGGGCUCAAUAGAGGAUGUAACCAAGAAAGUGUUGGGUAUUCUGUUUAAUGAGAAAAAUUACAACUUUUUUUUAGCUAAAGGAAAUCUUUUUGUUAUGGGUCAGUCUUGAAUAGGGCUCAGGAUAUUUAUUUUGAUUGUAUAUCCUGUGUACAGAACCUCUUUGUACAGGGGGUGGCUUUUUGUAUUACAUCUUUUUGGAAAUGGAGUAGUUGCUUUAUAUUUUUCGAAUUUUGUUUGAUGAGAUAUAGAUGGAAUAUAAUAGUACUAUAAGCUCCUCUUCAGGAGUAAAGAUUGAUCCAAUGGGCCCAUCUACUCCCAGUUUUAUACAACUAUGCAAGAAAGGUGUUGAUCCUUUGGGCUAAGGGUUGGGCCUCCCUAACUGCAUGCUGAUGUAACUAUGGAACUUCUUCACCAUUUUGCUCCAUCCAACCACCACUUGGGUAUCUCCCUCAAUUUCCAAAUGAAAAGUAGAUCAGAGAAAGACUGAGUUGAAGUACCUGAAGAAGUGAGGACAUCUCUGUUAUAAUGUCAUCAUCAUCUCUUAUGCGGUUUCUAAAUAUUUCAUUAAAGAAGUGAUAGCAACUUCAUGCACAAAUGCUCGAUAACGGACAGCUUGCUUGGAUUUCCUUUUGAUGCUCAGAAUGCAUGGAAUUACACCUCCAUCACCAUUAUCAAGUUUUGGAUAUAGUUGGGUUAAGCCUGUAGCUCAAUUUAUUGAUGCUUUGAACUGCAACCAUAUGGUCAUUUGUUCGGUCCCAGCUAAUCAUAGGGAAGUCUAUGGACACAUAACCUACGACUUCUAUGUAGUUGAACUUGUGGUUCUUUUUGGGAUGAGUACUCUAAACUUGAGAAUAUGGUAAUUACAAGCUUGAGUAUAAUGUUUCAUAAAAUCGAUGCAAAAUCAAUAUCUGAUCAUUGGAGUCCAUACGAUAUGGGUGUACUGUCUGAUAACUAUAUAAAGGACAGAGAUGGUUGCAUUUACCAUCGAGAUUGUGUUUCUUGCAAUAUAAUGAUCAGGGGUUGCAUCAAGAACCAUAGGACCAGAGAUGCAAGGGAGAUAUUUGACAGAAUGUAUCACAGGAACACUGUUUCUUGGAAUUCCAUGAUAAUGGCAUACACCCACGAAGAAAGAUGCAUAUUGCAUUGAAACUCUUCCUAAUCAUGCCUGACAAAGAUGUCAUUAGCUGGACCACUAUAAUUUCUGGGCUUUGCCAUGAUUCACGAACUGAAGAUGCAUGGCAAUUAUUCAAGCAAAUGCCAGAGCCCAACUCCAUUUCUUGGCCUUCGGUUAUAUCAAGUUUCUAGCAAACUGGAUUGGUUGCUGAUACUUUGAUUCUCUUCAAGGAAAUGCUAUCUGCAGGAAUUCAGCCAACUCCCCAUUCCUUUACUAGUGCUUUGACUGCUUCAGCAGAUUUAGCUGCACUAUCCAUUGGUCAACAACUUUACUCUCAACUGAUUAAGAGAGGAUUUGAGAUCAACACCCAUGUUGGAAAUUCAGCCAUUUGUAUGUUUAUAAGAUCUAGUAGUUUCUAUGAUUCUAGGCGCAUUUUUGUGGUUAUUCCCAGACCUGACCUCAUUACCUGGAAUUCUAUCCUUACAGGUUAUGCACAACAUGGAUAUGGAGAUUGAUCAUGGGGUCCCUCCUCUUCCUGUGCAUUAUGCAUGCAUGGUUGAUGCCCUUGCACGUGCUGGGCUUAUAAGAGAAGCACUUGAUAUGAUUUUGAAAAUGCUCUUUGAACCUGUAGCUAUCUUUUGGAAAACAUUGCUGAAUGGUUGUAGGCAAGGGUCAAAGUAUCGAUACAUAUCGGCCCGUAUUGGCCGAUACGUAUCGUGCCGGUGGCUUCCUGAUACACCCAUACAGGGGGUGUAUUGGGGUUCUGACUAGUUCAGGGUGUGGAGGAGCCUUAAACCGCCCCCCUGAACCGGUUUUGAAAAAGAAAAUAAAAUAAGGGUUGAAAACACUAUCGGUAUCACCUGAUACACCCCUACUGGCGUAUUGGGUGUAUUGAUAUUUUGAACCUUGGUUGUAGGAUUUGGGGAGAUUUGAAAUUAGGUGUAUUUGCAGCUGAAAAGAUUUUAAAACUUGAACCAUGUAAUUCAAGCGCAUGCUUAAUGGUGAUUGAGAUGUAUGCAUCUAUUGGGAGAUGGGUGGAGAUUUCAGAGAUUAUAAGAUGUAUGAGGGGAAGAGAGGCAAGAAAGGAGUUAGGUUAGAAUUGGGUUGAAAUAAAGGGGAAGGAACACUUGUUCACUACAAAGGAUGAAACUCAUGUUGCAUCAGAUAGUAUUUACAUGAUCCUUGAGUUGUUAUCCUACGAUGUUUGUAAAGUAUCUUGAGAUUGAUAGCAUGAAGCAAUGUUAAACCAGUGAAAAAGAACAUGGGGCUCUCAUUUGGUUGGCAAAUGUGCCUGUGAAUGCCAAAACCAUUGGUUGUUGCAGGUCGGAACUUUAGAAGUUGUUUUUGUGCUGAUAGUAGGGUUUGUUAGCAAAUCCAAACCUGGAAGGCAAUAGAAGUGCACUAUCUCAGUAUCUUGUACCAAAGCCAGUGAGACUAGAUGGAAAAUGUAUCAUGGCAAACAAGCAAUUCCAAGCAGUUAGUGCUGUCAUGGAUUUGGAUUCGUUUUGUUUGUUAACCAGACCCAUCUUAGAAUCAUCAAUUAUCUUUAUUCUCUUUAUACAUUACAGAAAUUACAGAAACAAGUUGUACAAGCCUAAUUGGGUUUAUUUAAGUGAUGAUUGAAUCGGACUGCAAACAAGCGAUAGAUUCCAUAAUUAAGCCGCCUUCUUGGGUUUUUUCUCUCCUGGCUGCUGUCUGGAACGAUAUUUUGUCUUUCUCUGCAAACUUUAGUGUUCGUUUUGUUCACGUUCAAAGGGAGUGCAAUAUUCUGGCCCAUGAGUUGGCAGGUUCCCUGGCCCGGGGUGUGGGUCUUCCUGUUUCUCUUUCUUAAUGAGAUAAUUCUUAUUUACCAAAGAAAAAAAAAAUAAUUGAUGGUUUUUAAAUUGUUGAAGUUCGUUUGCUUAAUACUUAACCAGAAAUAAAGGAUUAACAUGUUAGUAAUGUGGUUUUUUCUCUUUGCUCUUUUUAGACAACCUAUGUUUAAAGUUAUGAAGAUGUUGAUCAAAUAUCAUUUGGACAUUCGAUAUGUUACUGAGAGGAGAUGUAAACGCAUGCCUUACUAUUCGCCCUUUCCCCCCCGUAUUUGAAUGAACCAGAAUUUCCCAUUCAACUUGGCGCUUCUAAGCGACCCUGUAUGGAUGGGCACUUAUGUUGUAUGCAUCCCACUUCUUUACUUAUGGGGCUUAUUUAAAUUCUGGGCCAAGCCCAUAGUGAAAAAUACCGAGAGUUAGAAAAAAAAUUGCAGGCUAGUAAGGUUGGUUUAUCUCUUUGUUUACUUUUCUGUCAUUCAAACCACGGUCCAUGGAUCAUGGAUGUGC